GUGUCAGCAGCCGCGGUAAUACGUAGGGUGCGAGCGUUAAUCGGAAUUACUGGGCGUAAAGCGUGCGUAGGCGGUUCCUCAAGUCCGUUGUGAAAGCCCCGGGCUCAACCUGGGAAUGGCAGUGGAAACUAGGGGACUGGAAUCUGGCAGAGGGGGGUGGAAUGCCGCGUGUAGCAGUGAAAUGCGUAGAGAUGCGGCGGAACACCGAUGGCGAAGGCAGCCCCCUGGGCUGAGAUUGACGCUCAGGCACGAAAGCGUGGGGAGCAAACAGGAUUAGAUACCCUGGUAGUCCACGCCCUAAACGAUGGCAACUAGGUGUUGGGGAAGCGAUUUCCUGGUACCGCAGCUAACGCGUGAAGUUGCCCGCCUGGGGAGUACGGUCGCAAGAUUAAA
rnacentral:rRNA from 1 species